ACUGUGGAAUCUGCCUGGCAGCAGAGAUGGAAAGCAUUUAGCAGGAGCUGGAAGAGGAUCACAGACGGGUUUAUGCCAGCAGUGAGUUCUCCAGCCCUGUUCCACAUGGCUAAUCCCUGAGCAGAGAUGUGACCUCUUCCCAUCACUGGUGCAGGAACACCAGUGCUGGGGACACUCCCAGACUCUCCCACUCUCACCAUCUCCAAGUGGGAACUGAAAUUUGGCCCAGCAGAAUUUAGAAGACCAUGAAGAGAGGUGAAAAACUAGGACUGGAAGGAAGAAAAAUCUUCAUGGAACCCCAAAAAGUCCCUGGUACCACCUUCCCUCCUCAUCUCCAGUGUGUGGCUGAUUGAUAAUUGUCAUUAUCUAUGAGAUAUUGCUGGAGCUCUUCCAUCAGAAGACAUGAAGAGUUCUUCCAUCAGAGGAUGUGCCCACGCCUUGUGAGCUUUCCUUCCUCACAGUGAACUCUGAGAGUUGGAGAAGCUCAUGGUUUACAGGAGACUUUGGCAAGGGCUGAUGUUAAAAAUGGAGAAGAAACACAGGACAAUCAUCACUGAGGGGCUGGAGAACUCUCUGGAAUAACUUGGGAUAUUUGCAUCCCUGGGGCCUGUUGUGCGUCAAAGAAUGGAAAGUAUAUUGGGAAAAAGUUAAUUUUUCUGGAGUAUUUGACAUGGGCAUCAAAAGUUAUAACCCUUCUUCAAAAUGGAACAACUUAUUUCUGCUAGUUAAUAGUGAAAUUAUUUAAUCUAUAUCAUCUGGAAGCACUUUAAAAACCUGUUAUAAAAUAUAACCACCAGAGACCUUAAA